rnacentral:rRNA from 1 species
UACGUAGGGGGCGAGAGUUGUUCGGAUUUACUGGGCGUAAAGAGCGCGUAGGCGGUUCGAUAAGUCAGAGGUGAAAUCCCUCGGCUCAACCGAGGACCCGCGUCCGAUACUGUCGAACUUGAGUGCAGGAGAGGAGAGCGGAAUUCCCAGUGUAGCGGUGAAAUGCGUAGAUAUUGGGAGGAACACCGGUGGCGAAGGCGGCUCUCUGGACUGUCACUGACGCUGAGGCUCGAAAGCUAGGGGAGCAAACGGG